CCUACGGGAGGCAGCAGUGGGGAAUAUUGCACAAUGGGGGAAACCCUGAUGCAGCGACGCCGCGUGAGUGAAGAAGUAAUUCGUUAUGUAAAGCUCUAUCAGCAGGGAAGAAAAUGACGGUACCUGAGUAAGAAGCCCCGGCUACCACGUGCCCGGAGCCGCGGUAAUACGGAGGGGGCAAGCGUUUUCCGGGAUUACCGGGUGUAAAGGGAGCGGAGACGGCAGUGCAAGUCUGGAGUGAAAGGCGGGGGCUCAACCCCCGGACUGCUCUGGAAACUGUACGGCCGGAGUGCAGGAGAGGUAAGUGGAAUUCCUAGUGUAGCGGUGAAAUGCGUAGAUAUUAGGAGGAACACCAGUGGCGAAGGCGGCUUACUGGACUGUAACUGACGUUGAGGCUCGAAAGCGUGGGGAGCAAACAGGAUUAGAUACCCGAGUAGUC
rnacentral:rRNA from 1 species